rnacentral:tRNA from 1 species
GUGGUUGUGGCUCAGUUGGAGAGCACUUGCCUCCCUUGUGUGAGGCACUGGGUUCAAUUCUCAGCACCACA